rnacentral:rRNA from 1 species
GCUCAGAUUGAACGCUGGCGGCAGGCCUAACACAUGCAAGUCGAGCGGUAGAGAGAAGCUUGCUUCUCUUGAGAGCGGCGGACGGGUGAGUAAUACCUAGGAAUCUGCCUGAUAGUGGGGGAUAACGUUCGGAAACGGACGCUAAUACCGCAUACGUCCUACGGGAGAAAGCAGGGGACCUUCGGGCCUUGCGCUAUCAGAUGAGCCUAGGUCGGAUUAGCUAGUUGGUGAGGUAAUGGCUCACCAAGGCUACGAUCCGUAACUGGUCUGAGAGGAUGAUCAGUCACACUGGAACUGAGACACGGUCCAGACUCCUACGGGAGGCAGCAGUGGGGAAUAUUGGACAAUGGGCGAAAGCCUGAUCCAGCCAUGCCGCGUGUGUGAAGAAGGUCUUCGGAUUGUAAAG